CCCAGUGUUCAGACUACGUGUUCGUUCGUCAGUACGUGAACAGUAGUCUACACACUGGUUA
rnacentral:pre_miRNA from 1 species